UCCCUCAGUGACAUUCACUUGCUCUA
rnacentral:piRNA from 1 species